rnacentral:pre_miRNA from 1 species
AGCACAAUUACUGGAUGAUAGAGUAAAAUUAUAUUUAACUUUGUAAGAAAAUGUGAAAUUAUUUUCCAAAGGAACUGUACCAUUUUGCAUACCAUCAGUAAU